AGACAGGAACUCAGGUGAGAGUUGGAGAGACAGGAACUCAGGCGAGAGGUGGAGAGACAGGAACUCAGGUGAGAGAUGGUGGAAAGACAGGAACUCAGGCGAGAGGUGGAGAGACAGGAACUCAGGCGAGAGGUGGAGAGACAGGAACUCAGGUGAGAGAUGAUGGAGAGACAGGAAUUCAGGUGAGAGUUGGAGAGACAGGAACUCAGGCGAGAGGUGGAGAGACAGGAACUCAAGUGAGAGAUGGUGGAGAGAUAGGAACUCAGGCGAGAGGUGGAGAGACAGGAACUCAAGUGAGAGAUGGUGGAGAGACAGGAACUCAGGCGAGAGGUGGAGAGACAGGAACUCAGGUGAGAGAUGGUGGAGAGACAGGAACUCAGGCGAGAGGUGGAGAGACAGGAACUCAGGUGAGAGAUGGUGGAGAGAUAGGAACUCAGGCGAGAGGUGGAGAGACAGGAACUCAGGUGAGAGAUGGUGGAGAGACAGGAACUCAGGCGAGAGGUGGAGAGACAGGAACUCAGGUGAGAGAUGGUGGAGAGACAGGAACUCAGGCGAGAGGUGGAGAGACAGGAACUCAGGUGAGAGAUGGUGGAGAGACAGGAACUCAGGCGAGAGGUGGAGAGACAGGAACUCAGGUGAGAGAUGGUGGAGAGACAGGAACUCAGGCGAGAGGUGGAGAGACAGGAACUCAGGCGAGAGGUGGAGAGACAGGAACUCAGGUGAGAGGUGGUAGAGAUCAUUCCCUACAGUGGCUAUGGGAAUAAAGACAAGUUAAUGCAUUUAAAUAGUGAAGAUGCAGAAGUGAUAAAACUUGACCACUGAUCGGGUUGGAUGGUGAAGGAGAAGGUGAGUUAGGGAUGUCCUCUGCUUCUAGCAACAAAACGGUUUAGGACAACACACCUGGCACAGGCGGAAGGGUGGGCUGCCCGCCUGCGCAGAACCCUCCUCACGCU
rnacentral:lncRNA from 1 species